rnacentral:rRNA from 1 species
AGCAGCAGCCACGGUAAUACGAAGGGGGCUAGCGUUGUUCGGAAUCACUGGGCGUAAAGCGAGCGCAGGCGGUUAGAUAAGUCUGAAGUUAAAGGCUGUGGCUUAACCAUAGUACGCUUUGGAAACUGUUUAACUUGAGUGCAAGAGGGGAGAGUGGAAUUCCAUGUGUAGCGGUGAAAUGCGUAGAUAUAUGAAGGAACACCGGUGGCGAAAGCGGCUCUCUGGCUUGUAACUGACGCUGAGGCUCGAAAGCGUGGGGAGCAAACAGGAUUAGAUACCCCUGUAGUCCCUGUCUCUUAUACA